GACGAACGCUGGCGGCGUGCCUAAUACAUGCAAGUCGAACGAACUCUGGUAUUGAUUGGUGCUUGCAUCAUGAUUUACAUUUGAGUGAGUGGCGAACCGGUGAGUAACACGUGGGAAACCUGCCCAGAAGCGGGGGAUAACACCUGGAAACAGAUGCUAAUACCGCAUAACAACUUGGACCGCAUGGUCCGAGUUUGAAAGAUGGCUUCGGCUAUCACUUUUGGAUGGUCCCGCGGCGUAUUAGCUAGAUGGUGGGGUAACGGCUCACCAUGGCAAUGAUACGUAGCCGACCUGAGAGGGUAAUCGGCCACAUUGGGACUGAGACACGGCCCAAACUCCUACGGGAGGCAGCAGUAGGGAAUCUUCCACAAUGGACGAAAGUCUGAUGGAGCAACACCGCGUGAGUGAAGAAGGGUUUCGGCUCGUAAAACUCUGUUGUUAAAGAAGAACAUAUCUGAGAGUAACUGUUCAGGUAUUGACGGUAUUUAACCAGAAAGCCACGGCUAACUACGUGCCAGCAGCCGCGGUAAUACGUAGGUGGCAAGCGUUGUCCGGAUUUAUUGGGCGUAAAGCGAGCGCAGGCGGUUUUUUAAGUCUGAUGUGAAAGCCUUCGGCUCAACCGAAGAAGUGCAUCGGAAACUGGGAAACUUGAGUGCAGAAGAGGACAGUGGAACUCCAUGUGUAGCGGUGAAAUGCGUAGAUAUAUGGAAGAACACCAGUGGCGAAGGCGGCUGUCUGGUCUGUAACUGACGCUGAGGCUCGAAAGUAUGGGUAGCAAACAGGAUUAGAUACCCUGGUAGUCCAUACCGUAAACGAUGAAUGCUAAGUGUUGGAGGGUUUCCGCCCUUCAGUGCUGCAGCUAACGCAUUAAGCAUUCCGCCUGGGGAGUACGGCCGCAAGGCUGAAACUCAAAGGAAUUGACGGGGGCCCGCACAAGCGGUGGAGCAUGUGGUUUAAUUCGAAGCUACGCGAAGAACCUUACCAGGUCUUGACAUACUAUGCAAAUCUAAGAGAUUAGACGUUCCCUUCGGGGACAUGGAUACAGGUGGUGCAUGGUUGUCGUCAGCUCGUGUCGUGAGAUGUUGGGUUAAGUCCCGCAACGAGCGCAACCCUUAUUAUCAGUUGCCAGCAUUAAGUUGGGCACUCUGGUGAGACUGCCGGUGACAAACCGGAGGAAGGUGGGGAUGACGUCAAAUCAUCAUGCCCCUUAUGACCUGGGCUACACACGUGCUACAAUGGAUGGUACAACGAGUUGCGAACUCGCGAGAGUAAGCUAAUCUCUUAAAGCCAUUCUCAGUUCGGAUUGUAGGCUGCAACUCGCCUACAUGAAGUCGGAAUCGCUAGUAAUCGCGGAUCAGCAUGCCGCGGUGAAUACGUUCCCGGGCCUUGUACACACCGCCCGUCACACCAUGAGAGUUUGUAACACCCAAAGUCGGUGGGGUAACCUUUUAGGAACCAGCCGCCUAAGGUGGGACAGAUGAUUAGGGUG
rnacentral:rRNA from 1 species